GAUGUCAGUAAUCAGGCAAUCAUGAAAACCUGGUUCCCUUGUAUAUUUCUUCUGCCCACAAGAAGUAAGUAUGGCCUGAGUUAUAGAGACUAUAUAGAAGGUAUGCACAAGGGAUAACAAAGAUUCCUCGCAUGAUAAAAANNNNNNNNUGGAAGACAGAAGAGAAUCCACAUCAACGAUGAAAAAGCAUCAUGAGUAAGGAUGGGAUCAGACGCUUGCUUCCAAAAUUGCAUGCCAGCAUAUGGUACUUCCUUUUCAACAUGUUUCAAAAUGGAUGACAUAUCACCUUCACAUCCAUAAGCACUGUUGGCACGGUCCAUUGAGACUCCUG
rnacentral:misc_RNA from 1 species